UACGUAGGGUGCAAGCGUUGUCCGGAAUUAUUGGGCGUAAAGAGAACGUAGGCGGUUUGUUAAGUCUGUUCUUAAAGACCAGGGCUCAACCCUGGGAGUGGAAUGGAAACUGGCAGACUGGAGGACGUCAGAGGAAGGUGGAAUUCCCAGUGUAGCGGUGAAAUGCGUAGAUAUUGGGAGGAACACCAGUGGCGAAAGCGACCUUCUGGGACGAUCCUGACGCUGAGGUUCGAAAGCUCGGGGAGCAAACAGG
rnacentral:rRNA from 1 species